AGCCGCCCCCCCCCCCCCCAGAAGUGGCCUGACCGACCUGACCAAACCGUUUGGCUGUUUUGGCGGCUGUUUGUAUGCCUGCUCGCGUUCUUUCCGCCACGGUGACGGUCGGAGCCUGGAAGCGGAAACAUGCGGUGUGACUGCAGGAGGGAGGGCGGGCGGGCGGGCGGGCAGCCGACCGACCGACCGACCGAAAGAAAGAAAGAAAGAAAGACAUCCUGUCAAUCAGUAACCACGUUGCAGCGCAACCUCCACUGUGCUGCUUUUAAGUGGUGUGAGGUCAGAGGUCAGAGAUCGGAAGAUGACUAUUGAUUCAUCCUGUCCAUCUGAUCCAUACCAAUGAAAAGGCUUUAUAGGGAUGAGGGCUUAGUCGAGGGCUGAAGCUUCUGAGUUCUUAUCAGCUCUCAGCAAGGAAAAAGGGUAUCACUUUACUUGAGCAAGACUGACAUAAGCAUGUCUUAAACAUCUUAUGGCACAUGUCCUGGUCUGGCAUUUGUCAUUAUGACAACUCAUUUGUCAGUGUUAUCUCAGUGUUAUCGAAUUUAUCGGUGUUAUCUUUCCAUUAUCGCUAUUAAGUGUCAUGACAGCUUAUGUCAGGUGUUGCUAAGCUGUCAUAGUAUCAUUCUGUUAUAACAGUUAGAGAACAUAAUGAUUUGACACAUCUCAACACAAUGACCUACUUAUGACAGGAUACGACAUCUGCUGUGACAUGAUUAUGACAUGAUGACGUUGGUCUUAUGACGCAGGGCUCGAGUGAAAUGAAAACAGAUUUGCCCAUCUCAUUUGCAGUGAGCCUGGCCCAUUGGGGCAGGUCUGUGGCAGCUAUUUUCUGUGAAGUAGUUGUGUGAAUCUGGGUUUCUGAGUGGGCUGAAGGUCGUGCCACCGGUCGUGCCACCGAGUCAUGGGUCGUUUGAAACUCUAACAACUCAACUGGGCAGAAGUGGGCAUGGACGUGGCAUUGGGGUUGUGAAACACAACACAAGGUUGCCUGGUUACAGAGCUGUGCUGUAAAGUGGUGCAUUAUUCUGAAAAUGAAUACACACACACACACACACACACACACACACACACACACACACACACACAUACACAUAUAAAUAUUCCUUAG
rnacentral:lncRNA from 1 species